rnacentral:lncRNA from 1 species
CUUCAAAAGACAUAGACUUUCAGUGGUUUUGAUUUAAAAAGAAAAAAAAAGAAAAAAAAAAAGAAAGAAAAGGAAAAAAAGAAAAAAAAGAAAAAGAAAAAAAGAACCAACUGUAAGCUCCAGUGCUUUGCUUUUCUGUGCUGGCACAUCUGAUGGUGAGGUGGCAAGGUGCUUCCUGUUUACCUACAGAAAUCUCAUCUUCCAAACCAAACCUUGAUCUCUGGGGACCCCUUCUUAAGCCAUGGUUCGGCCUUGAUCUGAGAGUGGAACACAGCAUGUUCAGAUUUCUCUAGCAUUGCAGCUGGUGGCUGUGCAGUACUUCUCACAGCUGUGCUUGGCCUCCUUUGGCUGUCAAUCACAUGGGCAUUGUUCUGGGGCAGAGUCCAUGGUAGAGUGCACGAUGGGUGGAAGAUAGAUGUGCCACAAGCAUAACAAAUGAUCUGUUUUAUCAACGUGACAGGGUUAAUGUGUAUCUGAUAAAAAAUUUGGUGUUAACUGGAACUGUGCAAGGGUGAGAGAUGAAGAAGCUUGACUUCCUUCCAUUAACUGCACAUCAUCUGGUGCGUUAUGUGCACGCUGAGAACUGGACUUCCACUCUUCCUUUUCAACUGUAGUCUGAAUUUUUAACCAUGUUGAAGACUCUCUGCUUCUGCAAACCUCUUGGUGCAGACAUUGCUAAAUGUAAUUUUUCAGACAACUGCGCUGCAGGAGCAGAUGCAUAGUAUCCAAACUAUAAUGAAAUAAGUGCAGCAGAAGAAGGGCACAGGCAUUCUCCUCAAAGUUCAAAUGACACUUUGGUCCUUACCUCCUUUUUAUCUUCUUUUCCACAAACCUGAGCACGAAGCAUAAUCAUGUUCUUGUGCUAGUGUUGGGAGGAAAGCUUGGCCUGGCGCAGUUGUGCACAGCUACUCAUGAACAGAAUGUUUUUAUUCAGUCUGUGAUCAGUCACUGCUCAGCAUUUGUUAUUUCCAUGGACUCAUCAUGGACAAAAGGAAUAUGCAUUAACUUAGCUAACCGGUCAUCACACCAGGAGGAAAAAAGAGAACACUCUCACACGUUAUUUGUGUGACUUCUUAAUAAAAGGAAAACAACCUUUUCCAUUUUCUUGCCUGUUCCCCACAAGAAGCAAACAAAUGAAAGUAUUUACAUAAUUUUAGUUAAUACGAGGAUUGUGCGUUCAUGGUGUUCAAGGAACUCUGCAAGGAGAUGAACUGGAAUGAGAAACGGAAUCCUGGUACGGGUGUUCUUAGAACCUCAGAGAAAAUUUCUCCCCCGGGCAUAUUUAGUAUGUUUAUAUUUAGCAUAUUUAUACUUUGGAGGAAUUAAUUUGGCUCAGUAUCGUCUUCCUCAUGGAUUCCUUUUAUAUGUUUAUGACCUGAGAAUGCCCUCCCUUCUCCUCCCCUUUGCCUCUGUUUAAACCACAACAAAAGGUCAGACUGGAAGCAGAAUCCUGGGCAGAGGAAGAACAGGAAAGCUGUCUGUGUUUCCUUUUAUUCCUCCAUUUAAGAGACGAAUAUCCAGUGCAAUUACCCACCCAUCUGCAUGACACAGGCUGUGUUUUGAAUUCCUGUCUGUAGUGGGGGAGCAUCCACAGGUUCUUCUAAACAAAAGGAAAGCUUUCCCGGGAGAGAAAGGAAAGGUAUUCUGGAUGGAAGAUAAACCUGAGAAUACACACAAAAUGGCUGUUUGGUGAAGUCUGCCGUAUUUAUUUAUUUACCUUAAUAGAGGCAUAUUCUAUAAAUUCAUUUUCUAUAGAGAACUUCCUUCUCUGGUAUUUAUUUGUAGAAGCAGAAUGGUUUAGUGAGGCAUAUAUGAGGACAUCUUGGCUUUCAAGUGAAGCUGGGAUGGAAGGAUCAUUAGAAGGUGAGUUAGAUGCUGUCUCCUGAGCAUUACGUUGAGGAACACUGUCAUAAAUCUUGUUGACAGGCAAGAGCUGAGGUGGGCUAGACAUGGAACAGUAAAGUGAGGAGCUUUCAUCUGUAUCUGGAGUUGUCCCAUCAGCGUGGGAUGGAAGAGCUGAUAGCCUUCUGACCUGCAAAAGACAGAACAGGGUACAGCUCUGUGCACAACUGGCUAUUGCCUGUGCUCCUGCUAGAUAGAUAAGAUGUGGGUAGGAGUCUGUUGGCCUUGCUGUAUCCCUUUAAAACUGCUUUUGAAGAUGGGUACAUUGGACUCACCUGAUCACUGGAUUUUCUUUUGAUAUCUGAAAUAAGCUAGAAAUCAUACUCGUGUCUCUAGUCUUUCUCCACUUCCCUUCCCAAACUCAGUCAUGUCUUUCCUUGCACGAUUUCAACUUAAGGCAAAACUGAUUUAUCCUCUUGAGAGCUCUUCCAUGCCACUCAUUCACGCUCUUCUUUCCAAGCCUAUUAAAUCCUCAUUUUCACCUCCAAACCCCAAGGUAUCUUUCUGACUGCCCUUAUUCUCCUAUUUCCAGAUCUCUGACCCAUUACCGUUUUUUUUUUUUCUUUUUAAAAAAUUAUUCUCCAAAUAAAUCUCUCUUCUUCUCCCAAAUCUGCAAAUCCAUCUCUCUCUAAAGAAAUCCUCUUUUGGCAUCCAUUUUUUUCCAGCCACUUAGAACUCACUGCUUUCAGUUUUCUUUCCCCCACCUUGUCUUUCAGGAGCACUGCAGUCCAUUUGGUGCCCUUUGAUCCUUACCACAGCUUUUCUUGUGAGUGACAGCUGCCAGCUCCUGUCACAUCUUUUGCAUUCUGCCUUCUGCUCAUCUAAUUUCUUUGGAACCAAUUGCAAGAAUUGUGUGAAUUCGUGCCAGCCACAUAGCAAAGCAUUCUUCUCAAUCAUUGUACUGACCCUGUGGGUGACUUUUUGUCCUGUACAGUCAGAACUAGGUCAACAGAGGUGCUUCAGGUGCCUAAACUCCUGCUGGAAUGGUUUUACAAAUUAAUGCAUUUUAAAAGGAGUUUAGAUGCUUAAAGUACCUUUGUGGCAAAAAUGCUGAGUUCUUUCCCUUCAGCUCAGGCAAGGUGAUACCUCAUGCCAGGGAAGCCAUUCUUUCCAGGCAGCACAAUUAAACCUGUCUCCAAUCCUACUCCACAUUUUAAACUAUGCAAAAAUUUAUUUUCACUACGUGGUUCUACUGGACAUUAUCAGGUUUCAGUGGUGGCAGAAUUUAAGCAUACCCGGCUCUCUUGUCUCUGUGGUGCUGAUGGAGUUCUCUUACGCUUUCCUAGGAAGAAGAAAAAAAAAGGGAUGUUUCAAUCAAUCAGCAUUGAGAAGAUGCCUUUCUGCUCACAGAGGCGUAUAGAUUACCAAAGCAGCCCUUGCUUUAUUGAGUACUCCCCAAAGAAUAAAAAUCUGUCUCCAAACUAUAUUUAGGGAUUGUUUCACUGCCAAAAGCACCAAGAGACAGGAUAGAAGCAUGAAGGUGGUAAUUAACCACAUAGCUGAUUUUGGACUGUUACUAUGCUACCAGAAAAACAUGCUGGGAGAAGCCAUCAUCCACCGUGAAUGAGUUUUCUUGUAUAAGGAAUCCACUUGUUUAUGAGACUCACUUUAAACAAUAACAGAAUCACAAAAUCACAGAGUUGUAGGAGUUGGAAAGGACCUCUAGAAAUCAUCGAGUCCAACCUCUUCUGCUAAAGGAGUUCCCUGCAGCAGGUCACACAGGAAAGUGUCCAGGUUGGUUUUGAAUAUCUCCAGAGGAGACUCCACAACAUCUCUGGGCAGCCUGCUCCAAUGCUCUGCCACCCUCACAAUAAAGAAGUUCUUCCUCAUGUACGUAUGGAACUUCCUGUGUUCCAGUUUGUGCCUAUUUCUGUUGUCCUGUCACUGGGCUCUGCUGAAAGAGUCUGGCCACAUCCACUUGACUCCUGCCCUUUAGAUAUUUAUCAACAAUGAUGAGAUCCCUCUCAGUCUUCUCCAGAGGGAAUAGUCUCUCAGCCUUUCUUCAUAAGGGAGAUGCUCCAGGCCCCUAAUACUCUUUCUGGCCUUUCACUGGACUCUCUCAAGAAGAUCCUGUCUUUCUUGAGUGAGGAGCCCAGAACUGGAUGCAUACAGAGUGGCCUCACUGGGGCAAAGUAGCUGGGGAGGACCUCUUCCCUCAACCUGUUGUCCACACUUUUCAAUGAAACCCAACUUUUAGAGUCCAACUGGUCCCAGUAUUGUUCUGGUAAUGAGGAAGAGCUCCAGAGUGAAAAUGUUGGACUCUGAUUAUGCUUUGCUGUCAUUCAGCAGCACUCAUCCUUCCACCUCUGUCUUGAACAACUGUGUGACUGGUCUUUCCUUGCAGUAAUGAACUAGACAGUGUAUAACCAAGUAGUUAGCAAUACAGAUUUUGUUCUCAGAGUUUCUUUGAACUUUAGUUUCAACUAGACAAUCCCUGGCACCAAAUCCAAGAAAAGAAAAACAUGAGAAAAAUCGUGAUGUGUGGGGAUUGGUUAUAUAUUCAUAAAGCCACUAAUCAGUUUCUUUUCUCUCUCAUUUUUGUUAGGCUUUCUUUGUCUACUUUCAGGUCUUAUCUCCAUAUGAACACUGAUAGCAGAUAAAUCAAGACAACAGCUUCCUUCAUUUUUAGGAGUUUUGUUAAAAUUGACUUUCUCCCUCUGACAUGAAUAUCAGUUUAUAUCUCAAUCAAAUCUGGAAUUGUAGUUUAGAGAGAAAAUACAUAAAAUAUGUGUAGAAGAUUUUCCUAUGUCAUCCUUCUCACAGACACUUUCUGUUACUUUUAGAUUUAUUUCAGAUUAUUGUUUACUACGCAAUCAUUAAUAAUUUACAGAAGUAAAGGCUUUUGUUUGGUAGUGAUUUGUUAUAACUGGAAUAAUGAAAAUAAUUAUAUGUAUCUUAUCUCCAGUUCUUCAGUUUUGUAAAGUUCUGCUAAACUCAAGUGUUCAAGCUGUAAUAUAUCUCUUUUACUUUGGGUCUUACCAUUGAAUGACCUGACCUUUUAAUAAAGAUUUUUGUUUCCUA